AUGAGCAGAUUUCGACGUUUCAUUGCGGAUGAGGAGCUCCUUGACAUUUAUCUCCACGGGUGCCUUUAUACUUGGUGGAGUGAGCGGGAGACGCCUAUUUUGGAGAGCAUCAACCGUGCCCUAUGCACCUCCGGUUGGGCAGUGGCUUGGUGGAUUUGGAAGCAAUGAAAUGCAUGUGUUUUCAACACCGAACAACCCUCCAUCUCUCACCUCACCUCGACGAUCAAGGAGGAGGCACGCAGGUGGGCUCGUGCGGGCGUCAUAGGACUGUGCAACAUCGUGCCUGAGACGUAG
rnacentral:rRNA from 1 species